GCAGAACAAUUAAUGGGAACAUGCUAUAGCUUAUAAACUUUUACCUCUGAUACUGGAAGUGGCGAAAUAUUUGGCCUAUUGAUUUAAUUUAAACGGUCAAAAAGCUUUAUGCGGAUGUUUCAUGGUUUACUUUGAUCUUGUUCCUCCGGCAUUGGUCAUGCAUCAAGAACAAUAACUGAUGCACAAACUUUGUGGGAUGCACUUGUUAACUUUUGUGAACUUGUAAAAGCAUUUUAUCAGACAGGCGAACCAUGCUGUAAAAAAUUGAGGUAUAUUUUUUGGAAAGCGAUGCUAGAAUUGAUCUGUUUUG
rnacentral:misc_RNA from 1 species